CCAUUUCAGAGAUGGAGAAAGAGGCUCAGGGAGGUCACAGCUAGCAGCUGUGUGCUGGAUGGGGCAGAGAGUGGCAGGGAGGUCCUGUGGGUGGCCACCGCCCAGUUCUUUCCCAGAAACCAUCUCUUUCACUGUUGCAGUCCUGUGAGGGGGACAGGACGAGGGGGACAGGACAAGGGUGCAGCUGGGAAGUCAAGGCUCUGAGAGCCAGGGCGACUUCCCGUAAGCCACACUGCAAGGACACUGCAGAGGUGAGGUCUUCCAAACCCUGCCUUCCUGGGCUCCUACACAAACACAGGUUGUCACUGUGCUCUGAGAAGUUCUGAACCCGCCCAUUCAGCCAUUCAUCACUUCCACGGAUGCGUACUGAGCACCUACUGUGUUAGGUGCUGCACCUUGUAGGGCUGGGAAGAGAUUCCACAGAGCCAAGCAAACAAAAGUCCCUGCUCUCCCAGCGGAGGAGGAAGAGAAAACAACACAAAUAAAUUCAUCACAGAGGCUGCAACAUGGGGUUAAUAAUAACCCUCCUUCCCAGGGCACUGUGAAGAUGAAAUGAGUUCACCUACCUAAAGCACUCAGGCGAGUGCCUGGCUCAGGAGGCCCUGGGGGCCUGAGCUGAGGAGAAGGACUGAAAAAAAUAUAUCACGGAGAGGCGUUAAAUGGAUUAAAGAGGCAGGUGGCCAGAGGGGACGAGGGGCAAAGCCGUGCCAGACAGCAGCAGCAGAGACCUUCUCCUCCACGAAGCUGCAAAUUGGCUUCUCCUUCCUCAUCACUCGCCAGAACAGUCCCUGGAGCAGACAGGCUGGGAAGAUGAACGACAGCCCCUCCAUCCUGGCUUCUUCUCCCAGGCUCCUCAGCAGGAAGGCUCAGCUGCCUUUGUGCUGCAGAUUAAGAAAAAGCAGGGCGGCUCCCUGAGAGAAGACUCCCAUCACCAGCUCCCCUCACCGAAAGCAGGAGGGAGGCUGCCGGCCACAGGAACAGGGCCAGGGGGCCUUCACCCCAACACUGCCUAGAUGGGGCAAGAACUAUCCGGGGUAUCCAGAUGUGGUGGUGCACACUUGUAAUUGCAGAGGCUGGGGAGGCUGAGGCAG